rnacentral:tRNA from 1 species
GAAGGUAUAGUCAAGUGGUUAGAGUACAUGUUAAGCAUGCAUGAGGUCCUGGGUUCAAUCCCCAGUAUCUCCA